CCAAGGCUGGAAAAGACCUUCAGGAUCAUGCAGUCCAACCAGUCACCUAUCACCAAUAGUUCUCACUAAACCACGUUCCUCAACACAGAAUCCAACCAUUCCUUGAACACCUCCAGGGUCGGUGACUCCACCACCUCCCUGGGCAGCCCGUUCCAGUGCCUGACCACUCCUUCAGAGAAGUACUAUUUAAAAAAAAAAAUGAGUCUUUAAAGAUGUGUACUUCGCAACCUUUAUUUCCUCAAAGUGCAGCUGUAUACUUGGAAAUGUAUUUAAGUUCAGAUCCACAAAUGGAGAGCAAUAGUAGUAUAUCUCCAGGGCUGUUGUCAAGUGACUGCACCCUGGCAGUCACUGGGAAGUGCACCAGUGUAGCUCAAAAAUGCCUCCUGCCUUUAUAUUUUGUAUUGACCCAAAUUAUUUUAGUGCAUCCUAUUACUGAAGUCAAAAGCUUUUUUCAAGUGCAUGGGUGUUCUGUCUUUUUGUCAGAAGUUAGGUAUAUUGCAAAUCUUGGCAUAGAAAGCUUUUCUUUAACAGCUUAAGUUUAUUUAGAAAACAAACUAAGGCAUUGCUAGAAUAGAACUGGUAAUGUGGAGAUGACAGCAGCUAUGUAAGGUUAGCCUGCAAAGGAAAGUUUGCCUGAAAUAAGACUGGCUAUAAAUCUAAAGCAUCAUAUUUGUUCCUGGCUUUAUAUAUAUAUAUAUUUUGUCAAUUUUUAUAUGGCUUUUAGACCCAGUAAGAUACAUGUCUAUUACAAGCUAGAAGCUGUAAUGGCAAAGUUUGUGUUACUGAACUGUGGUGCUGGAUCAGAAGCUGUGCUGGGUGUGUUGUGCCUUAUUUGCUGAACGAAGACACACAGAUUUUGGAAUGCUUAUCUGUGCUUGAUUCAAAGCUUCAGUGAGAUACAUCCAGAGCACUGGGAUCACUUCCUGACUUAACGUCAUGGUGCUUCUUCUACCUGGCUUGCAAGUAACAGUGUGGAACUGGAGGAGAGGUGAUGAUUUCCCACUUUUAAAGCAAUGUUUCUUAAAUAUGUAUUUACCACAUACAACUCCAGUGAUCAACAGGCUUUUCAAAACACUGGAGUAUUAACUCCUGCCAAGUAAACUAAGUUUAUGAUCUAUGUGGUGUUUGGUGGUUACCAAAUAAACUUGGGUGCUAUGUUGAAAGUAAUUUUCUGUGUGGAGGUGGUUACACAAACCACUGGGUGAAGAGCUGCGAGUCACUCACCGUCCAUAACUGGCAGCAGAGAUGCUUCUGUUCAGUCCCCACAUGAGAAUUCUGCUACUCGUGCUAUAGGAAUGGGGGUGAAUGGGCUGGCAUGGGUGCUAAUUUUAGGGGUGGAAAGCAAGGAGAAAUUACAGAUGUACUAGGAGUUGUAGUUUGGGAAGAUAAAUUGUAAGAGGGCAUGAUAGAAAUGGAUGUUCACCUCCUCUUCAUUUCUGUUUCAGCUGUAAGUGUAUUUGUAGUGAGCCAUUACCUGCAGUUCCUGCUGCCCAAUAAAUCCAAUUUUGGAUAUCAACUGGGGCUGACCAUAAGUCAGGACAGCCUCCCUCAUAUUUCCUCUUCCUGGACUUUUAUUCUCCUGGCCAAAUAAGUUGGCGUGUUCUGCUUUGCAGUGACCAGCUCCAACAGGAGGCUAUUGGGAGCACUGUCCAGAGGGUCUGAGCAGAGCAAUGUCCUGAGAGAGGUGAUGCUUUGCCUUCCUGUAAGGUGAGAGAGCCCCAAGCCUGAGCUUGCAGCUUGUUGAGUACGUGUGCUGCCAGGCUUGUUACUGUUGUCUCCUAAUUUUGUAGCUCCUAGGAACAGCAAUUGGUGAACUGCUGGGUCUGACAAAGAACCCAAAAUGCUGUCAGUUUAUCAGAUGCACUCAGUGUUCUGGUUUUUUUUUUUUUUCAGAUUGAUCUUGAGGAAUGUCAGGUUUUUGGAUUCUGAACAUGGUGAAUGCAUGAGGUUUCCUCAGACUUGAUGGAAUUUUAGAUGCCCAAAGAACUGUCUGUUCAAAUGAUGAAGCAAGCUGUAAUCUAAACAGACAAACAGGGCUACAGGCACACCGCAGCCACCGCUACAGCAAAUUCGACAAAAUCUCUGUACGGACUUGAAAAUCUCCUUUAGCUGUAGCAUUGAAAAUCACGGUGUCAAACUCACCACGUCUGAGCAGAGGAGCAGAGCAGCCGGACCAUCGCCCUCUGGAGGUGUGACUGAUCACGGUUCCACCGCUGGAUGCAGGAGCUUCUGUUUCUCUGGCACGUCUCACCCCAAGGCACGUGAAGUCACCUUGCUGUCUAUACAAAUUCCUAUUUUUAGUGUUAUUUUUGCUGUUUUAUUUUUAUGAACCUCCUGAUACAAGAGACAUAUUCUGAUCAGAUGUGAUUAUGAAUCUCUCUUCCAGAGACAAAAUCUUUUUUUUUUUUUUUUUUUUUUUGUAUUCUGCAUGCUUUAAAUUGUUUAAAGCCUCUUUUUUUCUUGCACAGUCAAAGUGCUUGAGAUGAAAACCAGCAUGAUAGUUGGGCUCUUGUGAUGCAUUUUUAUGUAAUUAUUAUUCAAAGCUGAACUGUAUUAGAAGUCAGAUGUUUAAAAAACAAAGGAAGCAGCAAUAAUUCUUCAUUUGUUUAUACAGUUGCCCAGUUGCAGAAAUCCUGCUAGAGAUUUGUGCUGCUUACUGUGCAGUUCUAAGGGGAAUGCUUGCUGAAAUGGACAAACCUGAGGGUCUUCCCAUUAAAUAUAGGUCCUUCAUCAAGAAUAGUUACUGGCUUUAAAGGAAGAGAUGCCUCACCCUGAGGAGCGUGGGCCAAGGAGUGGAAGAACACUGUUGUUAGUGCAGCUCAUCAUAAAGGGUUAUGGGGCGAUUCAAAGUAAGUGGUUGUAACAGUCACACUUCAUAAAGCAAGCUGAAAAAGAGCAAACCCAAUCUGUGCUGACAGUCACAAGGAAUGUAGUAUCUGAUCAAACCAAGUUAGCUUUAGAAGCAGGAGUGCAGGUCUAGCUGAAAGCAGUGCAUCUGCUGCAGUGCUGGGCUCAGCAAGGGUUACCUUACCCUGCCAAACACAGCAGUGUGAAUGCUGAUGAUAUCUUGUGCACUCAGAAGUCACUGGACUUGUCAGAGCCGCGCCUUCUGCCUGGUGUUUGACGUAGGAUUAUACAUUCUCAACCUGCGUAUUAGAGGGAAGGACAGAAAGAACAGAACAAGGACAUGCUUUUUGCUAUUAUUUCAUGUAGUACGCAGUGCCAUGAUGAUAUUUAAGCGUUACUCACUUCUCCAUGGAUACAUCCAGUGUGACAAACCACCCCUGUUCCAGAGCAGCUCCUCACACUUCUCAGUGCUUCCUUCUCCAGUCCCUGCUCUUAGACUUUGCGAGCUGACCGUAGGAGGUGGGUCACAGAACACACAGACUUGCCAGUCGUUGUUCAUUGAUUACUUUCACAACUCUAAUCUUGUUCAGAUAUCUUGUCUUUAUAGAUCCUGCUGUCUUUCUGAUGUUCAACAAGCUACUCAAUGCCUUCUGUUGGUCUAUGUAAGACCACCAGGUGUUUGUACCAACAUCGUUUAAGGGACUUCUGAGCAUUGAGGCUCUUUAAUGUUUACAUUCAUUAGUGGAUCUGCAUUUGAGUCCCUUACAGCAGAGUUCUGACCGUAUGUUACAGCAGCAGGCUGUAUGGCAACCAUUUCUACCACAGCUUUUGCUUUGGGUUCAUGGAAUUGAAAUAGCCUGGCAAGUCAGGAACUGGUGAUGUGGAUGGACAUGGCUCUUCCACUGAGAAAAUAAGUUGGUUCUAUGAAUCCAGUUUAAAAACCUCUUUGCUGUAGGACAGAUGACACUUGACAGCAGUAUUCUCUAAUUUCAGACACUACAAUAAAUGUGUAUGUAUGUGUA